CCUACGGGAGGCAACAGUGGGGAAUAUUGGGCAAUGGGCGCAAGCCUGACCCAGCAACGCCGCGUGAAGGAAGAAGGCUUUCGGGUUGUAAACUUCUUUUCUCAGGGACGAAGCAAGUGACGGUACCUGAGGAAUAAGCCACGGCUAACUACGUGCCAGCAGCCGCGGUAAUACGUAGGUGGCAAGCGUUAUCCGGAUUUACUGGGUGUAAAGGGCGUGUAGGCGGGGACGCAAGUCAGAUGUGAAAACCACGGGCUCAACCUGUGGCCUGCAUUUGAAACUGUGUUUCUUGAGUGCUGGAGAGGCAGAUGGAAUUCCUAGUGUAGCGGUGGAAUGCGUAGAUAUUAGGAGGAACACCAGUGGCGAAGGCGGUCUGCUGGACUGCAACUGACGCUGAGGCACGAAAGCGUGGGGAGCAAACAGGAUUAGAUACCCGGGUAGUC
rnacentral:rRNA from 1 species